AGUGAACGCUGGCGGUAGGCCUAACACAUGCAAGUCGAACGGCAGCACAGUAAGAGCUUGCUCUUACGGGUGGCGAGUGGCGGACGGGUGAGGAAUACAUCGGAAUCUACUUUUUCGUGGGGGAUAACGUAGGGAAACUUACGCUAAUACCGCAUACGACCUACGGGUGAAAGCAGGGGAUCUUCGGACCUUGCGCGAUUGAAUGAGCCGAUGUCGGAUUAGCUAGUUGGCGGGGUAAAGGCCCACCAAGGCGACGAUCCGUAGCUGGUCUGAGAGGAUGAUCCGCCACACUGGCACUGAGACACGGUCCAGACUCCUACGGGAGGCAGCAGUGGGGCAUAUUGGACAAUGGGCGCAAGCCUGAUCCAGCCAUACCGCGUGGGUGAAGAAGGCCUUCGGGUUGUAAAGCCCUUUUGUUGGGAAAGAAAAGCAGCAGGUUAAUACCCCGCUGUUCUGACGGUACCCAAAGAAUAAGCACCGGCUAACUUCG
rnacentral:rRNA from 1 species